GACGUAGGGCGCGAGCGUUGUCCGGAUUUAUUGGGCGUAAAGAGCUCGUAGGCGGCUUGUCGCGUCGACUGUGAAAUCCCGCGGCUCAACUGCGGGUCUGCAGUCGAUACGGGCAGGCUAGAGUUCGGUAGGGGAGACUGGAAUUCCUGGUGUAGCGGUGAAAUGUGCAGAUAUCAGGAGGAACACCAAUAGCGAAGGCAGCUCGCUGGGACGUUACUGACACUGAGGCGCGAAAGCGUGGGGAGCGAACAGG
rnacentral:rRNA from 1 species